GUGGUGCUAGGAAAGAACCAAGGUUUUUGUGUUGCCUUCAGCAGUUUGUUUGAAUUACCCAACUGUCUAGAUUAAGGAAGAAUCGUCUCUUUCCGGCUGGAGAAGGUGGGCUAGCAACCCUGUCUCAGGUAGAACAUAUGGACAAAUAAUUGGCUCCUAGAGCUGUGGGGAAACAGAGGCACCUAUAGAAAGAGUAUCUCAGAAAUUAUAGCUAGUAGGACUGUCUUUUGUCUACGUGUGUACACAUGUGUGUGUACACAUGUACACAAAUGGACACGUAUAUCCAGGUGUAAUGAGAUGGAAAUAUUUUUCUGGCAGCAGCAGACUCAAGCCAUUCUUCCUGCAGACUUCACAGAAGCAGUGGUUGGGCUCCUGAUACCGUUCCCAUUGAAGUCAGUGGAAAGGCUUUUGUUGAGUAUAAUGAGGUGGAUCAAAAUCUGAGAAGUAGGAAGCUCUUAGAAGUCUGGCACUUUCUGAAGAGCUUAGGGUCUCCUGCUGCUCUGAAUGAGUUGACUUAAUAGCAACAGGAUUGGACUCUUCGUGGACAAACUAUUCUGCCUUGCAACCAAAGCUGUCUAUGGGCCAAGGAGACAAGGAGCUGUCCCUCUGAGAUCUGAAGAUGGAAUAGUGCUCUUCAAAGACCACUUCACAUCAGUGCACAGAUUUCAACAUCAAAGACAAUGCAAUCAGCUGCUCCACAACACCCCAUUAAGCGUGUUGCUGAAAGGGGGAGCUCAGUUAAUUCCAUAGACUUCAUUUUCCCCUGAAUCCUGGGCUCCUGGAGAACAGUAGCAGAUGAUGGGUUAAAAGUGGGAGUCAUUCAUGUUAUCCCUCUGACCCACCACUCCCAUUUUCUCAAGCCACCUUUUUGUGAAGUGUUGGCAGGGCAUAUUUUAACAUGUUUUUGUUGUUGUUUUACUGCUUGGAAGCCAGAAUGGGCCCAGAGGAAUGUGCCAUGUAUGACCCAUGUCCUCUGUGCAACUUGAAAUAGAUCUGGAUGCUUGUAGUGGGGGUGAGAGGGUGGAAAUGGUUGCUCCCCAUAUAAUUAAUUUGGGGAAAUACCUGAGGUGAAUCACAUAACAUCUCCAGUGCUGGCCAUUUCCCUUAAUUCUUUUUUACAUAGGAAGGGAACCCCCAACAUGUCAACUAACAUUACUCUAGGAUUAAUGGGAAUGUCGAUGCAUGCUGAAAUAUGAGCCAGUUUUUCAAGAUCAAGCUGCUUUGCAAAGUUUUAGAUAGUCCUCUGAGAUUUUAGGGUGCUUUAUUUAAACUGUAUAUCUGAAACUCUUCCAGUUUCAUUCACUACUAAUUGCUAGCAGAGGACUGAAAAUGCUGGAAUUAUACAGCCCGCUAAUGCAUUAGAGUUUUUUAAGAUGUAGUGCCAUCAGCUCCAUUAUCAGAUUGUCAUGGCAAGAUGAGAAGAACAAGAAACAGGUGUGUACACUUUUGACAGUUAUAAUGGAUUACUGUAUAGGGCUACAGAAGAAAAGUGGAAGCACUUUAAUAAAUAGGAGACUCCCAUUGAAAGUCAAUAUAGAAAGGUUUCUUUGGACUGACCACAAAAAGAGGAUAAGCUGGAAGCUAGAGUGAAAACAUCAGUUGAGCUCUGUCAAGGAAGAGGCCGUAUCAUUUUAAAUAUGACUAAAUGAGGUCUAGAAAUAGAAAAGCUAUCAUUAAACCUCCUGGCUCAAGUAGAUGAGCGUCCAUUCACUGAAAAACAGUUCUCCCUGUCUCCUGCUCCAUUCUCAACUGCCUUUCAGCUGAUAUUUAUGAGAAGCAAUUUGUUAAAAGCAUAGCCAAUAUUUAGUGUGCUUAAAAGUUUUAAAGUAAGAGUAACUUGGCCUGCCAUAGCACCAGUCAUCCAGGAAUAUUACUGUACUCUACAAACAUGGAUGAGGUAGAGAUGGAGCCUGAUCCACAAUGGAGAUAAAACCAGAAUUCUCUAAAGUGACUCUUACCUUUGGACACCCAGCUUGGGACACCCAGAUCUAGAUUUUCUCAGCUGCAUCCAUUAUUCCAUUAACUUCAGAGGAAGCUCCUCUAAAAGCAAACCCACUUGACUAUUACUUUUUUUUUUUUCUAUCUGAGUAUCAAGUAGGUUGUGUUUUCUGUUUUAGACAAGUAUUGGAGUAAUGCACUUAAUAGAUUAGAUU